AGAGUUUGAUCCUGGCUCAGAUUGAACGCUGGCGGCAUGCCUUACACAUGCAAGUCGAACGGCAGCACGGGUGCUUGCACCUGGUGGCGAGUGGCGAACGGGUGAGUAACACAUCGGAACGUACCUUAUCGUGGGGGAUAACGCAGCGAAAGCUGUGCUAAUACCGCAUACGCCCUGAGGGGGAAAGCGGGGGAUCGAAAGACCUCGCGCGAUUAGAGCGGCCGAUGCCUGAUUAGCUUGUUGGUGGGGUAAAAGCCCACCAAGGCGACGAUCAGUAGCUGGUCUGAGAGGACGAUCAGCCACACUGGGACUGAGACACGGCCCAGACUCCUACGGGAGGCAGCAGUGGGGAAUUUUGGACAAUGGGGGAAACCCUGAUCCAGCAAUGCCGCGUGAGUGAAGAAGGCCUUCGGGUUGUAAAGCUCUUUUGUCAGGGAAGAAACACCGGCUCUAACACAGUCCGGGAAUGACGGUACCUGAAGAAUAAGCACCGGCUAACUACGUGCCAGCAGCCGCGGUAAUACGUAGGGUGCGAGCGUUAAUCGGAAUUACUGGGCGUAAAGCGUGCGCAGGCGGUUAUACAAGACAGGCGUGAAAUCCCCGGGCUUAACCUGGGAAUGGCGCCUGUGACUGUAUGGCUAGAGUGUGUCAGAGGGGGGUAGAAUUCCACGUGUAGCAGUGAAAUGCGUAGAUAUGUGGAGGAAUACCAAUGGCGAAAGCAGCCCCCUGGGAUAACACUGACGCUCAUGCACGAAAGCGUGGGGAGCAAACAGGAUUAGAUACCCUGGUAGUCCACGCCCUAAACGAUGCUGACUAGUUGUUCGGGAUUUACAUCCUGAGUAACGUAGCUAACGCGUGAAGUCAGCCGCCUGGGGAGUACGGUCGCAGAUUAAAACUCAAGGAAUUGACGGG
rnacentral:rRNA from 1 species